rnacentral:sRNA from 1 species
GGCCUGGAGUUGUGGAGUCGGAUAUCGCGGCUCCCGGCUGAGCUGCGCCUGCGCAACUCAUUGGCGCCAAGAUGGCGAUGGAGAUGAGGCUUCCAGUGGCUCGCAAGCCUCUUAGCGAGAGACUGGGCCGCGACACCAAGAAACAUCUAGUGGUGCCGGGGGAUACAAUCACUACGGACACGGGAUUCAUGCGGGGCCAUGGAACGUAUAUGGGAGAAGAGAAGCUCAUUGCAUCUGUUGCUGGCUCUGUGGAGAGAGUGAACAAGUUGAUCUGUGUGAAAGCUUUGAAAACCAGAGGAGAAGAUCUGCAGAAGAUGAGCUUGCAAUGAGAGGUUUCUUACAGGAAGGGGACCUUAUCAGUGGGGUUUUGGUCCAGGUUUCCCCCUCCCUGGUGAAACGGCAGAAGACCCACUUUCAUGAUUUGCCAUGUGGUGCCUCAGUGAUUCUCGGUAACAACGGCUUCAUCUGGAUUUACCCAACACCUGAGCACAAAGAAGAGGAAGCAGGGGGCUUCAUUGCAAACCUGGAGCCUGUCUCUCUUGCUGAUCGAGAGGUGAUAUCCCGGCUUCGGAACUGCAUCAUCUCGCUGGUAACUCAGAGGAUGAUGCUGUAUGAUACCAGCAUCCUGUACUGCUAUGAAGCAUCCCUUCCACAUCAGAUCAAAGACAUCUUAAAGCCAGAAAUAAUGGAGGAGAUUGUGAUGGAAACACGCCAGAGGCUUUUAGAACAGGAGGGAUAA